rnacentral:rRNA from 1 species
AGAGUUUGAUCAUGGCUCAGGAUGAACGCUAGCGGCAGGCUUAACACAUGCAAGUCGAGGGGUAACAGGUCUUCGGACGCUGACGACCGGCAAACGGGUGCGGAACACGUACGCAACAUACCCUUUACAGGGGGAUAGCCCGGAGAAAUCCGGAUUAACACCCCAUAGUAUAAUCGGAAGGCAUCUUCUGGUUAUUAAAAAUUUAUUGGUAAAGGAUUGGCGUGCGUCCCAUUAGAUAGUUGGCGGGGUAACGGCCCACCAAGUCGGCGAUGGGUAGCUGGUGUGAGAGCACGACCAGCCACACGGGCACUGAGACACGGGCCCGACUCCUACGGGAGGCAGCAGUGAGGAAUAUUGGUCAAUGGGCGCAAGCCUGAACCAGCCAUGCCGCGUGGAGGAUGACAGCCUUCUGGGUUGUAAACUUCUUUUAUAUGGGAAGAAAAGUACGGUUUCUACUGUAUCCGACGGUACCAUAUGAAUAAGCACCGGCUAACUCCGUGCCAGCAGCCGCGGUAAUACGGAGGGUGCAAGCGUUAUCCGGAUUUACUGGGUUUAAAGGGUGUGUAGGCGGACAUUUAAGUCAGAGGUGAAAUCUCCGGGCUCAACCCGGAAACUGCCUUUGAUACUAUUUGUCUUGAAUUUCGUUGAGGUUGGCGGAAUAUAUCAUGUAGCGGUGAAAUGCAUAGAUAUGAUAUAGAACACCGAUUGCGAAGGCAGCUGGCUGAACGAACAUUGACGCUGAGGCACGAAAGCGUGGGUAGCGAACAGGAUUAGAUACCCUAGUAGUCC